rnacentral:lncRNA from 1 species
GCUUGUCCCGUGUGAAGCCGCCUGCUCUCCACACCCCUUUGCCAGACAUGCAUGUCCUUAGAAAACCUUAAAUGGAAAAACAGCAACUGGAGAUUUCUCCUUUAUAAAGAAAGAAAGCCUUGCGGUGGAACAUCUGUUUGAUGUGAAGGAUGAACGCAGCACGUAGGGAUUCCGCAGGAAUGGGAAAACCGUCACCAUGAGUUUGGCAUCUCAUUGGUCAUAGAUCUUCCCCAGUGUUUUGUGACUGACAAGAUGCAGGUACUACGGCACUCCGAGCACACACUGAAAACAGCUCUCCUCUCAAAGAACCCAGACCUCGUGUCCCAUCAGACUGGAUCUCCUCCCACCCCGAGGCUCCCCAAGACUUCGAGCAGUUUUUCUCUGACCGCUACAGGAAGGCACCCUGCCCGAAGAAACACAUUAUCUACAUUCAGCCCAUUGGCUUUCUAGGCAACACCAGAGUUAUCAGUGAGGAGUAUAUUAAAUGGCUCAAGGGCUACUGCGAAGCCUUUUUCUACGGUUUGAAGGUGAAGUUCUUAGAACCGGUUUCUGUCUCUGCGACUAAGUGCUCCUUUAGAGUGAACGAGAACACACAGAACCUGCAGAUCCACACAG